rnacentral:lncRNA from 1 species
GUCACCAUUUUGUGGAAAAAAUGACGGGAGACAAGUCCAUUCUAUAAUGUCAACAAGUCUCAGUUUAUUUCAAGCACACAUGUACAGUUAUACCCGUUAUAAUGAAGCUCAUGCAUAUUGCAAAACUUAGGCUCAUCAUUGGUGUAUUAAAAACAGGUCAAACCUGCCUUUAAAGCUUUCUAAGCUUGCUUUGUUUUCCCUUACAUUUAUCUUUUUGCUGAACAUUCUACUGUUGGGAACCAGCUUACCCAAUGACAUAAGAUAUUAUUGCUACAUCUGCUAUUGCUGCACUGUGCAAUUUUCAGCUACUGCUUCACUAACUGCACAUAGUCAUGUCCUUUCUCACAAAGCCAUUCAUCCACAAAACUCUCCAUAGACUGGUGAGUUUUCUUUCCCAGGGAAAAUGGCCAAAAGAUGUGCCCAGUAGCCCUGGGGUCCUAGGCUGGGACGAGACUGCAAAAAGUCAAUACAUCGAAGGAUGUACCCCAGACCAAAGUUGUCACCAGCUCAAACUUGUGCUGCCACGACAGUCCCUAGGGAGCCCUACAAACAGACAUCAGGAAACUGGACGAUGAGUUUUCUUUCCCAGGGAAAAUGGCCAAAGGAUGUGCCCAGGGGCCCCCGGCCCUAAGCUGGGCCUUGACUGCUAAAAGUCCAUACAUCGAAGGAUGUAACCCACACCAAAGUUGUCCCCUCCUCAAACUUGUGCUGCGCUGAUAGACCCAAGGGAGCCCUAAAAACUGACAUCAGGAACCUGGACUGCAGAGUUUUCUUUCCCAGGGAAAAUGGCCAAAGGAUGUGCCCAGGGGCCCCUGGCCCUGGACCUGACUGCAAAAAAUCCUUAUAUCGAAGGAUGGAUUGCAGACCAAAGUUGUCCCCACCUCAAACUUGUGCUGCCCUGAUAGACCCAAGGGAGCCCUACAAACUGACAUCAGGAACCUGGACUGGUGAGUUUUCUUUCCCAGGGAAAAGGGACAGAGUAUAUGCCCAGAGGUCCCUGGCCCUGAGCAGGUGGCUGACUGCAAAAAAUCCAAACAUCGAAGGAUGUACCCCAGACCCCAGCUGCCCCCACCUCAAACUUAUGCUGCCCUGAUAGACCCAAGGGAGCCCUACAAACUGACAUCAGGAACCUGGACUGGCGAGUUUUCUUUCCCAGGGAAAAGGGCCGGAGUAUGUUCCCAGAGCAGACAGACUCCAGAGCUUUUGGGCUUGUCAGCUGCAGAGGUUGAUUGG